UAGGGAAUAUUGGACAAUGGGCGCAAGCCUGAUCCAGCCAUGCCGCGUGAGUGAAGAAGGCCCUCGGGUUGUAAAGCUCUUUUGUCCGGAAAGAAAAGCUUUGGGUUAAUACCCCGAAGUCCUGACGGUACCGGAAGAAUAAGCACCGGCUAACUUCGUGCCAGCAGCCGCGGUAAUACGAAGGGUGCAAGCGUUACUCGGAAUUACUGGGCGUAAAGCGUGCGUAGGUGGUUCGUUAAGUCUGAUGUGAAAGCCCUGGGCUCAACCUGGGAAUGGCAUUGGAGACUGGCGGGCGAGAGUGCGGUAGAGGGCAGUGGAAUUCCCGGUGUAGCAGUGAAAUGCGUAGAGAUCGGGAGGAACAUCUGUGGCGAAGGCGACUGCCUGGACCAGCACUGACACUGAGGCACGAAAGCGUGGGGAGCAAACAGG
rnacentral:rRNA from 1 species